rnacentral:rRNA from 1 species
UACGUUCCCGGGUCUUGUACACACCGCCCGUCACACCAUGGGAGCGGGUUUUACCAGAAGUAGGUAGCCUUAACCGGUAAGGAGGGCGCUUACCACGGUAGGGAUUCGUGACUGGGGUG